rnacentral:lncRNA from 1 species
AUGGUUACCGUCUGGAAUUUCAAGACAAUUUAUCUCCUCACUGUUGCUUUUAUAUGGAAAUCUGUCAAUGCAAACUGCCUGCACAGACCCCAGGGAGCAAACUUCUCUUUCCAGCCAGUCUGUAUGUCUUCCAAGCCAUGGAAUGGUACUCAUCCAACCUGAUCCUCCUUCUGUGAGACACUGGAGUCCAGAACAGUUUUUUGCCCUGGACAGUACAGUCAACAUACCAUGUUACAACGAACCAAGGAAACAGAUUAUUUACAACAUCUGGAAUCUGAAAAUGAAAGCAAAUAACUGCUGCAUUGCUUGGCAUUUCAAUGAAAGUCAGAUUGACACCUGCAAAGAUGGAAAAGUGUUGAGAAAUGGAACAAGUGGACAACCCUUUUUGUACAUUCCUCGCUUUACACGUGAAGAUGAGGGAAUCUAUUUUUGUGAGACUGCAUACUUGGGAGGGUGUCACACAGCUAAAAUCCAAGUAUCUGCAAAGAUCCGUCCAGAGAUCUCUGGGAAGUUGGUGCUACAUCAUGACAGGAAAGUGGCUGUGUGCUCGGCUGCUGGAGGUAAACCUGCAGCCACUAUCUCCUGGAGCACCAUAGAAAAUGUGAGCGACCACCACACCGCCACACCAAACCUCGAUGGCACCUUUACUGUAGAGAGACGCUUGGUCCUAUCCAACAACGUUUCCCACAGCAACUUGACAUGCAUCGUCACUCACCCUAGCUUGGGAGAGGCACACAUGGAGAAGAUCCUACCUUCAGAAGAUGCAGUUCCAUGGAAAUGGAUUGGAGUCUCCCUGGCUUCCACGGGCCUUAUAGCUUUUAUGCUUACUGGAUUUUUUCUGGCACGGAAACACUUCAGCAAUUUUAGUACUUUACUCCAGCGCUGCUGCAAGUUCCAUAAUCAACUGCCGGCAGAGUCACAGAAGAAACAGGAUGGAGAAGAAAUGGAACUGUGUUCUAGCUACGUGCAACGUGUGAACUCCAUCUACAAGUCCUCAGCCGAUCUGUGCAACUACUGAAACGCCUUCAGAAGCAGCCAGGGUGCACCGACGGUUCACUACCGAGAAAUUCAACCGCCGUGAGAAAGAAAAGGAAAUCCGCCACAACGUAGGAUAUCUUGAGGCUGUUCAUGGAAGGACUUGCAAGCAUGUAGCUGUGGUGUUUUGUGCAGAAAACAAAGAGUGACGCACAGGGUUCCAUCUCAAGGCAAAGACAUGCUGUCGGGGCUCAGGCCGCGUUCCUCUGCGAUCCCCAGCGUCUCAGAUCUCACUGUCUGAGAGGGCAAAGGGAAAUGGACCUUUUGCAGAGCAAAACAAAAUGGGUGAUGAGUCAAGAGGAAAAACAGCAAGUUUCUCAAGUAAACUGUCAUGACCCACUUUGACUAUUCAUUUUCAUUGCUAAAAAAGCUGAGGUUAAACUUCAGUCUAAACCCUAAAUUAUACUGUGACUUUCACAUCUUUAUUAAGACACCAUUUCUUCAUUUGUCAUUAACCUAUCUUUAAUAUUCAUUAUUUUUUAAUUAGGAAAGCUGUCCGGUUGUCGAUAUAUUUUUAAAAAAACAGUAUAAUAAAAAGGGCCACUUCCCUUUUUAUUAUAACCUU